UUCCAUUUGCCGCGGCGAGGAUUUGGUCCCAGGGGGAAGGGGGGAGGAGGGGGAGGAGGAGGAACGAGACAGAUGGAGAGUCAUUCUGCACUCCUGUCAGGCUGCCACGUCGUCGAGGCAGCUGAUGGUCACGCUGAGCCUGCCUGUCAGCCGCCGCUGCUCGAGCAGAGAGGUCGCACCAGCAGUUACACAGUCACUACACUUCGGCGGAAAAACAAAAUUCUUGGCUGAGCCUCCGGGCGUUCCGACGACACGACCAGGAGACUGUGUAGAACGCAAGGAUUAUUAUCGUUGUUCGACCUCCUCGGCUCCCCAAAACCCGAACCCUGGCUUGUGACAGCGAAUUAAUCGUUCCUGCCGAGUGGUGCCAAGAAUCAACACUUUCUGCUUCCACCUUCCCACUGGAGAGCCUGUUCCGUACGUUUACGGCUCGCUCGCUGAAAUGAUCUUUCCGCAGAUUUGUUUUGAAUUUAUCCCUCUCUUUCAGUCGCAAGCCAAAUGCAAGUUGAUCUUGUCGUUACGCACCGUGGAAUGGAAAGUUGAAUUAAGAACAGAUGCAAUGGAAUAUAAUUAACUCUUUGUGUUUGCAAAGGUAUCGAAGACGUUUGCUUGCUUCGAAUGGUCUCUUGUCGUCAUUUGAGCCACGUCGGGCCACUGAACUCACGUAGGUGAACGAGGUUGAGACUCCAGAGUAGCUCCAG